rnacentral:misc_RNA from 1 species
GCACGAGUAACUCUUUAACUUAUCACAGACAUGAGGUUUAAACUUUCAGCAAUAAAAAUGCAAAAUCCCCAUAGAUGUAGGACGGUCAAAAUUGAAGAUGAAAAACUAGUAAUGAAACAACACACAUAUUUCUGAAUUCCAACUCCACCUACAAAACAAUGCUAUCGAGGCCAAAUCAAUGCUAAUUACUUUCAAAGCCUAACAAAAUUGUCCCCAGCGUGUUCAACAUUCAUAACACUUAUGGCAGAACUCGCAAAAAUGAAUAAUAAAACAAAAAUAACUUUGACUAAUAUCAAAUUCGAAUGCUCUCUCUAUUUUCAAUCCUCUGCAUCUCAUGAGUUAAGACUCCAACUUCAAUUUCCUUCAGUAUGUCCAUCCUCAGUAGCAUGCCCAUUUUCAGAAGCAUGAUCAUUCUCAUUUGUCUCAGCACUCUGAG